GACGAACGCUGGCGGCGUGCCUAAUACAUGCAAGUCGAGCGAGCGGAACUAAUAGAUUUACUUCGGUAAUGACGUUAGGAAAGCGAGCGGCGGAUGGGUGAGUAACACGUGGGGAACCUGCCCCAUAGUCUGGGAUACCACUUGGAAACAGGUGCUAAUACCGGAUAAGAAAGCAGAUCGCAUGAUCAGCUUUUAAAAGGCGGCGUAAGCUGUCGCUAUGGGAUGGCCCCGCGGUGCAUUAGCUAGUUGGUAAGGUAAAGGCUUACCAAGGCGAUGAUGCAUAGCCGAGUUGAGAGACUGAUCGGCCACAUUGGGACUGAGACACGGCCCAAACUCCUACGGGAGGCAGCAGUAGGGAAUCUUCCACAAUGGACGCAAGUCUGAUGGAGCAACGCCGCGUGAGUGAAGAAGGUUUUCGGAUCGUAAAGCUCUGUUGUUGGUGAAGAAGGAUAGAGGUAGUAACUGGCCUUUAUUUGACGGUAAUCAACCAGAAAGACACGGCUAACUACGUG
rnacentral:rRNA from 1 species